AUCCAGGUGACGGGUCCCACACAGGACGAAAUGCACAUUAUCCUGGAU
rnacentral:hammerhead_ribozyme from 1 species